AAACGUUCAAAGCUUAGUUCAGCAGCCCAACUACUCUCUUUCCUCACUUUAGCCGAAACCUAGAAAUAAAUUAGGUCCUAUUUGUUUCUUCCAAGACUUGUCAGCCGCUAUCUCCACCCUUUCUCUUCUUUUUUUCCUUUUUCAGCAAAACACCAACAUCUCUAAGCCAUGGCCAGACUUUGUAUCUCCAUUUUCAGCAUAAAAUCCAUUCCCCUGCUUCCAUUUGGCGUAUCUCAACUCUUCAGAGAUGAUCUUUCUUCUCUUAUGUCAAAGACGCAGCAAAUCACGUUUGCUUCAGUCGAGAUUUUAUCAUUUUGGAUAGAACCUGAACAAAUCAUGUGAAUCUGUCCAAACCUCCAACGGACGUGUUUCGAAUCCGAAGUUUUAAUUCCCGCUUAUGAAACCCUAGUUGUUUUCUACUAUAAAUACUGCUAAGACAUUCAGCCAAAACCGAGCCAGAAUCCACAAAAUUCAACUCAUAUCAUACUCUGCUUUUCUUUUAAUCUAAAGCUUUACAAUCAGUGGCUCAAUAUUUAGUCUUCGUUUUUAUAUUCUGGACAAAUAAGGAGUGGUAGAUUUGAAAUGACCUCGCAAGCCCAAGUUCAUUGCUCCCAAAAAGGUCAGUGUUGCUCUCUUUUCUAGUUUCAUAAACUUUAAGAUAUCGUUUAUGAAUUUGCCUGUGCCAUGAGAUUUUGUUAGCAUUCUUGCUUUUUCUGUUUUUGAUUUUUAACUUGCUUCUUGUGGAUCCUCGAUAAUUAGUUUUAAGGUGUCAUUGUGUAUUUAAUUAUUUUGCCAAGAACCAGGUUAUAAAUGAAAACUUCUAUUUUAUUAGAGAACAUGAUCCUAGGCCUAAACUUUUCUUCAUUUUGAAUAUUACUAAAAUGAAAAUAUCUGCUGUUGUAGUAUUAGGAUACCUACUCUCUUAUUUUUCUUUUAAAAGACGACUUAGGUUUGAUGAACUUAAAUGCCAUGCCUAUUAAGAUUUAAAAGCAUUUUCUUAGUUACAGAAAAUAUAAGCUAUUAUGUUUCAAUAUAAAAUAAUAAUGCGAGCCUGUAUAUUUAUGUCUAGAGAUCUUGUGAAUAGGUUUCACAUGUUUAUUAAUAUCAAUAAUCUUUAAGAGAAAUAGAGCAUGUUUUUGACUGGAGCAAGCUCCCAUUAAAUCGCAAAGCACAUUUUAGAUAGUAAUUAAACAAGUACUGUAAAUUGUUUGACGUAGAACACUGCAGUAAUUAGUUUCUGUUAGGAAAUACUAAGCCUCUUAUGUUUAUAGGGAACAUGAUGCGUAAAAGGGAAGACUUGCUAAGAGUAUGAUUUUCAAUCUUAUUAGCUGCACUGUUCCUGCUUUUUUAAGAUUUGAAACCUUUUACAAAUCAAUAUAUCAAAUUGAAGUUAGUUAAUUUAAGUUACUUCCCUGUUGGCCAAGACCAUGUAUUUCUACCAUUAUAACUAUUUGAAAGUUCUGUACCAUGCCUUCUGAGGGGUUGCUCUGAUAGUAAGCAACCCCCACUUCCAACCGAGAGAUUGUGAGUUCGAGUCUCCCCAAGAACAAGGUUGGAAGUUCUUGGAGGGAAGGAUAUCGGGUGUCUAUUUAAAAACAAACUCUCUAUCCCAAUGUAGGGGUAAGGUUUGCAUACAUACUACCCUCCCCAAACUCCAUUAAGUGAGAAUAUACUGGGUUUUGUUGUAGAUAACCAUGCCUCCAGAGUAAAAAAUGGGACAUAAUCUCCUAUUAGUGUAGAUAUUCGUGCAUUUUGUCUAUGGCUUGGUUCCCAUGUUGUUUUAUUAACUUUCAGGCAAUCUCACUUGUGAAUGUUAGUAGACUAUGCUGCAUUUUUCAUAUAUGCCUAAUUCUUUAUUUUUUUUCUUUUCUUUCUUUGCAUGUACACUUUGAAGUAAAUGGAAUCUUAAUUCGAGACUCUUGCAAUGGAGUCUCUUAGAGUUUCAACGCUACCCUACCCAAGCAUGGAGUUUUCACGUACCAAAUUCCAUAGAUGCACCAAAUAACAAGAAUACAAACGAAAUACUUGGGAGCGCCUAUAGAGUUCUUAUUCUUCUUUAUUAUUUAUUGUAUCUAAUUUUUUACUGUUGUUGAUUUAUGUGUGUUUGGUGUUUAUCUCAACUUUGGGAUUUAUUCGUCUAGUUUCUUUAUCUCGUGCUUAAUAUUAUGUCACAUAAUAUGACAGUUAGAAUAAGAAGUUUAAACUUAGUAACUUUUCACCUAGUUGUCACUUGCGUGUCUAUUUUUCCAAGUAAGUAAGCUACUGUACUCCUAACACUCUUUCAAGUAAGGUCAAAGUGAUACUUUUGAGAGCUUGUCAAAUUUGUUUCCAAUAUUGUUAAGUUGGAGUUUUUCUCAUAAAUGAUGCAACG
rnacentral:lncRNA from 1 species